rnacentral:rRNA from 1 species
AUGCGACAGUGGCAUGGGAUGGCGAGCGUGGAUGGAGGAGGCUCAUCCAAGGCCAGGGGUCUUUGCAGAACCCAGUCAUUCUGCAAUUUCUUGCUUGCGUGUUUGAUCAUUGUAUUAAUCUCGUCGUGGUUCUUUCAUAAUCGGGAAGGGGGUGCCUCCGCUUCAGCGAAGCCCAGACGGUGGCCGACGAUGCUCCGCACUGAAGAAGAAUCGGGCAAGACACCGACUGUGUAUGCCGGCGUCGCCUCGACGAUGGCCUUCCUGGGACACAAGCGGUGGUGGCCUAUUGUGUUCUACUUUCCCUUGAUCUUGGCGGCGGACGCAGACACGCUGGCCGCCGACUAG